rnacentral:lncRNA from 1 species
GGAUCUUCUGUGGCUGUAGCCAGGAUGUCACCUGAUCCUUUGAGGACAAACAUCUGGAUGACCAUGGAGGGCCCAGGAUGCAGUGGGUGACCUUUACCAAGAACAAUAGUACAGAGGGAAAAGGGUCCUGGACAGAGCCCUGAAAGACACCCAUGAUUAGUGAGCUUCACUUGAAUGAAGAAAAGGAGACUGAGAAGGAGUAGCCUAACAACAGCAGGAAGGUGACCUUUUCUGCUUCCAAAGCCUGGAGGACGUCUCCCAUUUAUAGGUCCACAGGCAUGGUUAUGGGGUCUUCCUGUCUAAAGCCAAAGGAUCAUGGAUCUGUGACAGGCUGGCUCAAAAGGGACAUAUGACCUUGGCUAAGCUAAGGGCAAGUAGAAGACAUCCUCUCUUACAGACUGGACAUGGCUAAUCCCAAUUAUGCCUUUAGCAUUAACUAGUGAAUGAGCCCCUCAUUUUGGAAGAUGUCCAACGCAUUACUAAGGAAAUAGUGGCAGACAGAAGGCUCAGGUGUCCUGUGGUCCAUGGGAUCAUGAGCUGUA